rnacentral:rRNA from 1 species
CCUACGGGAGGCAGCAGUGAGGAAUAUUGGUCAAUGGACGAGAGUCUGAACCAGCCAAGUAGCGUGAAGGAUGACUGCCCUAUGGGUUGUAAACUUCUUUUAUAUGGGAAUAAAAUGUUCCACGUGUGGGAUUUUGUAUGUCCCAUAUGAAUAAGGAUCGGCUAACUCCGUGCCAGCAGCCGCGGUAAUACGGAGGAUCCGAGCGUUAUCCGGAUUUAUUGGGUGUAAAGGGAGCGUAGGUGGAUUGUUAAGUCAGUUGUGAAAGUUUGCGGCUCAACCGUAAAAUUGCAGUUGAAACUGGCAGUCUUGAGUACAGUAGAGGUGGGCGGAAUUCGUGGUGUAGCGGUGAAAUGCUUAGAUAUCACGAAGAACUCCGAUUGCGAAGGCAGUUCACUGGACUGCAACUGACACUGAGGCUCGAAAGUGUGGGUAUCAAACAGGAUUAGAUACCCCUGUAGUC